rnacentral:lncRNA from 1 species
CCAGCCCAAUACACGAGAGGGGGACUAUAUAAGAAUCAAUGAAGCUGUCACUAUCACGAACUACCCCACGAUCUGGCAUAUUGGGUACAAUCGCAGAUAAAUACGGUAUAACCAUCACGCCUACACAAUAUCUAUCAUUUACCCAUGGAUCCAAUGGAUAAACGCUAUACGAUCCUAAGCAUGUAUAUAGAUCCAAUCUAACUAAGCCAAGUACAUAUCUAUGAUAAACUAAGAACAAUAUAAUCUUGAAUAUAAGCAAGUAGAGCAAAGUCAUAAGUAAUAUAUUGAAGUAGAACAAAGUCAUAUUCAUAAUAUUGAAGAACAAAGAUAAUUAGAAAGCAAUUAGAAGCACAAUUAGAGAAUUACCAAGAAUCCUCUUGACAGAUCUGGAAACCAAUCGAAGAUUGACUCCUUCUAGUUCUAAUCCUAUGUAGCUAUGCUAAUCUAGAUGUCUAAUUGAUGUGGUGGCUCUAAUCUUGAUCAGGGGCUUCUUCUCCCUUGAGGAAUAAUGAAUUAGGGUUGAGAGGCUCUCUCCUCCAGGGGCUAGGGGGUCUGGUUUUAUAGUCCCUUCCAGUGAAUAUGGGCCAUUUGAUCAAAACGACUUUGAUUGAACAGUUAUCCUUGAUCCUUUAGGUCGGUGGAGAUCUCCCAUGAAACAGAGUCCUGUUUGGCCUCCAAGUCAGGGCGGGCGCCCAGGGCAGGAGGGCGGGCGCCCUGCCUCUGGCCCCGUUCGGCCUCCGCUUUCUUCCCGUGGCUUCUGGAGUCUUCUAGAUGUAAGAUAAUUGCGCGGUACGUUAAUAUCUCUAUGUAAUCCCGAUGUAUGGGCCUUUCUUCCGUAUUUCCUGAUAACCCCCUGCAGAAAUAGACAAACACCAAAACUCGUGGAAUUCUGUCAGAUAAAACCCUAAGUCUAGAUGUUGAUUUCAUUUGGAUCCUUUUCUUUGUUUAUUUAUUAAUUAAAUUUGAUACUUAAGGACUGUCAACAAACUCCCCCAAGCUUACCUCUUGCUCGUCCCAGAGCAAGGAUAGACUCAGCAAUGGAUCAAAAGUUGUUGCAAUAUCUUUCAUCAUGGGACUUGUAGCCGUCACUUUUGUCUUGAGUAGUUAAAAGAUAGAACAGUCUAGUCAAGUGCCAUGUCUCUUAUUCUUGAUCAGCUAUAGCUCUGGAGUUUUUGCAGAUUUUCAAAUAAAACUCAGAGAUUCCUUGUAUGACUCUCUCAUAUCUCUCUUUUGUGGUAUUUCUGGAUCCUUACUAAGGCAGUGAUGGUAUAUGCCUACUCUCAAAAAGUAUGUAGUAUUUGUGGUAUAAAGCAUAGUGACAUUGUCUUCUCUCUCACCCUACUCUAAUAAGGCUUUAAUAUCUGGAGCUCAUAGGUGGGAGAUAAAGUAUACAUACUUACAAGACAUUUAUUGCAUAGUCAAACCAUGGAUCAAAAGAAACAAGUCAAUAAGUUUAAUCAAGAUGUGCAUGUGUGGCGAAUGAAUGGUGUAUGGUGAUGAUGGUGAUAACAAUGGUGGAAGUCUAAUUCUACUUUUGCUCUUUUAAGGGGAUACAUACCUUCUUUGCUUUUUGAAACUUUAUGAGGAGAAUGAGAUGCUCUAUAUUUUUCUUUUCUCUCAGGUGGGUAUCUUGUACCCCUAAUUCUACUGUCGGACACUUGUCCAUUUUUACCUCUCGUCUCACUUUUUUUUCUUUCGAGGUUCCGGGCACUUGCCCCUUUUUAUUUCCUCGUAUACUUUUUUUCUUCUUUUUUUUAGAGCACUCAUCUCUUGAAAUAAUAUAGCAAGUGGUAGUAACAAGAUAACUUGAGCAUUUAUUUCACAUGGAAAAACAGAGAUAUUUUUGGCUAUUCUCUCCCGGAUUAGGAGUAGAAUAUUUUUAGGUGGUUCCGGAGAUGAAAAUGAGUGGAUAUAUGUGGAUGGUACUUCCGGAAUAGAAGUAGCAUAUGUGAGUGAACGUGCAAGUGAAACCUUGAUUUAACCACAUGACAAGUGUUGGGUAUUCUUAACAUCAUUACCAAAAGUAGACUAAGUUCUCUAAUCUAGUAACGGUGCUAAAAAUGCCAAACCUAUCCCUCACACCACUUAAGCCAAGUUGUCAUCCCCAGCAUGAUAUAAGAGACGCGUGUUGACACCAGAAGUGGCAAACGGUUAUACCGCAAGCGUACGGUAGUCAAUGUAGCCUUCACCGGGAGUAUUCCAGGUAUCGUGAUUUCCACGGGGAACGCGAAGUGAAUUAACUAGGCUUUAGAUCGUUAGGUGAUGAUCAAAGGGUCUAGGAUAAUGGGGUAGAGAGGUCUAACUAGUAUUAAUGCCUGGUCUUGGUAAUUAAGUAUAGUCAAGGUUUUUCACCUAACUCUUUACUGAGGGCGAUACCCGAAAAGGAGGAUUGAGUUAACGAGGUUUUUCACCUCCCCGUCUCCUAAGCGACUACCCUGCUCAGCCCAACUAUUAUUUGCAACUUGCCUACAACAGAUGUGAGGAGCUUUCCGCCUAGCGAGGACUGUCACUCUCACACUAGGUGUCUACACAACUGCGACAAGGAGUCCACACUGGCAAGAAGUAGUCUAGACACCACGUCUAAACUAGCUCUUGCUACCCUAAGCUUAGCUAAAGCUAAGAGCACUCAAGAUCAAGCAAUGUGCCAGUAAAGGAUUCUUAUACUUAAAGUACCAGACCAAAUAUUAAAUACUAGAAAAGACUCAGAAGUAAGACUUACAAGAAGACCUGCUUCC